UCGUAUUGUUACCAAAUGGAUAACGGAUACAUCCGUUCAAUAUAAAAAAAAAUUUUAAAACUUUAAUAACUUCAAUCUAGUUAUUGUGAUGGGGUAAAUUGAGAAUAGAGAAUACCCACUGAGGGGUUACGAAUGUCUUGAUUUGACCGAAAACUUGCAGAACAUUUUUGGUGGUGAUUCUGAAGGAUAAAAGAUGGCUUAAGAAAAACUAUGGGAUAAAAUGGAUCUAGAGGGAUUUUGAGGAAAAAUGAGUCUAAGAGCUUUUGAUGGAUAAUACCUAUGUUUAGGGGGAGUUUAAG
rnacentral:lncRNA from 1 species